AGCUGGUGGCUGGUCACUAGUGGGGAUCCCCAAGGCUCAGCAUUUUGGCCAGGCCUGUUUAAUCUUUAUCAAAGUUCUGGACAAGAGGAUUAAGGGCACCCUCAAUGAGUUUACUCAUAACACCAAGUUGGAUGAGAGUCUUGGUCUGCUGGAGGGAAGGAAGGCUCUGCACAGGAACCUGGACAAGCUGGAUCAAUGGGCCAAAGUCUAAUGUAAUCAGUCUUAACAAGAAGAUAACAUGAAACAGCAUUAAGAAUUCAAGUAGAAGAAACGUGAAAACUUAUCUGUGGAAGGUGCAGAAGAUUAUAUGCCAGUGGUCAAGAGUCUGAGAUUUUAGGAGCAGUACACAGGACUCUGCCUUAAAGCAUCUCCUGCUUCCAGUACUCAGGACACCUUGUUUGGAGACCAUGGCUGCACGAUCUGAUGUCUGCCCACAGGCCAAGUCAGAGACUUCUGGCACAUAUUAACCAGAGGGUUACAGUUCCAGGUGCUUAAUGGCAGGAGCCAAAAUGCCAGAACUUUCCAUUUGGACAGGUUUCAUAUUUUGUGGGUCUCAUAUGCACUCUUUUUUCC